GGGUCAGUAGGUCGGUCGUGCCACUGGUAUGAACUGGUUUUACUGAUUCCUCCCUCUUGAAGAACUGUAAUGCCAUUAACUUGGUGCUGCAGGGAAUCAGGACUGUUACUUUGAAAAAAUUAGAGUGUUUAAAGCAGGCCUAUGCCCGAAUACAUUAGCAUGGCAUAAUGAAAUAGGACGUUUGAUCCUAUUUUGUUGGUUUCUAGGAUUGACGUA
rnacentral:rRNA from 1 species